GAUGAACGCUAGCUACAGGCUUAACACAUGCAAGUCGAGGGGUAACGAGAGGAAAGCUUGCUUUCCUUGUUGACGACCGGCGCACGGGUGAGUAACGCGUAUCCAACCUGCCCCCAACUAGGGAAUAACCUUGCGAAAGUAAGACUAAUACCCUAUAAUUUCCUCAGAUGUCAUCUGACGAGGAAUAAAGAUUUAUCGGUUGUGGAUGGGGAUGCGUCUGAUUAGCUUGUUGGCGGGGUAACGGCCCACCAAGGCAACGAUCAGUAGGGGUUCUGAGGAGAAGGUCCCCCACAUUGGAACUGAGACACGGUCCAAACUCCUACGGGAGGCAGCAGUGAGGAAUAUUGGUCAAUGGGCGAAAGCCUGAACCAGCCAAGUAGCGUGCAGGAUGACGGCCCUAUGGGUUGUAAACUGCUUUUAUACAGGAAUAAAGUUAGCCACGUGUGGUUAUUUGUAGGUACUGUAUGAAUAAGGACCGGCUAAUUCCGUGCCAGCCGCCGGCCGUAA
rnacentral:rRNA from 1 species